AUGGCCAUGUGCGUUGAUGUAGAUCGAUAGUGAGUGAUAUGGUAGUUAGUAGUGGCCUUUUGCGAGAGCCUGAGGGAUAUUGCUGUUUUAGGAACCAUGUCUUUUCCCCGUCUAUUGGUGCACGCCGAGCGUCAUUAUUAUUUAAGCUUCUUUCUACAUAGUUACAAGUGACUGACAAUAUAUCAAUUAUAUUUCGAUCAAAUCGUUAGAUAUCAACAAAAGCCCAGGUUCUGGGAACCGUGCAAGCGAGUCUCCCAAUAAAAACCAUAGAGAAAAAGGAAAGAGAAGGAAAAAAAAAAAAAAAAAAAAAAACUCCAGGAUGACUCUUCAUCUAAAACAGCCACUCGAAGAGUGUCCAAAUCAUAUCAUUCAAUGGACAUC
rnacentral:sRNA from 1 species